AAGUCGUAACAAGGUUUCCGUAGGUGAACCUGCGGAAGGAUCAUUACUAAUUCGGGUCUUCCAGGCCACGAACUAACCAGUGUGAAACAUAUUAGGCUGCUGGCAGCCAAGCCCUCGAGUUGAUUUACUUCCUCGGGCUACUGCCAGCUUUGUUUUAACUUUGUUAUUACGAAUGAUUACUUCUAGAGGGUGUAUAGUGGAGUAAAGCAUGUGAUAGUCUCUUGGGACGGUCUGGCUAGCUUUCAUUAUACGCUUCGUCUAAGGGUUUAAACAACUUUUAGCAACGGAUCUCUAGGCUCUU
rnacentral:misc_RNA from 1 species